AAGUCGUAACAAGGUCUCCGUAGGUGAACCUGCGGAGGGAUCAUUAACACGUAUCCAAUACACGUUCAAACCCAAACCGUGAUCUUUAUAUUCCCAUAGAGAGAGGUGCACUCGUAAGCCAUAGAUGGAUUUCUUCGGAUCUGCUUACAGUCUAUUGGUCCUCCUGAGACCAGCCGAUUCUCUAUGGCGUAUCAAAGCCAUCUGGUUACUAGUGCCACCCCGGUUCUGACCCGGAGCCUAGUAGCCUUAGUAUUCCCCAUUUUUUAACCCCUUUCUUUUACAAGUGGCAACACUUAACUGAUUUUUUUACUGUUCUCCUUGACCGAAAGGUUGGAGUUAACUAGUACGAUAUACGAAAUGCUGAACAACUCUUAGCAAUGGAUAUCUUGGUUCUC
rnacentral:misc_RNA from 1 species